AUUGAACGCUGGCGGCAGGCCUAACACAUGCAAGUCGAACGAGUGGCGGACGGGUGAGUAAUGUCUGGGAAACUGCCCGAUGGAGGGGGAUAACUACUGGAAACGGUAGCUAAUACCGCAUACCAUCGGAUGUGCCCAGAUGGGAUUAGCUUGUAGGUGAGGUAACGGCUCACCUAGGCGACGAUCCCUAGCUGGUCUGAGAGGAUGACCAGCCACACUAGAACUUAGCCACGGUCAAGACUCCAACGGGAGGCAGCAGUGGGGACAGUUGUACAAUGGGCGCAAGCCUGGUCCAGACAUGCCGCGUGUGUGAAGAAGGUCUUCGGAUUGUAGAGCACUUUAAGUUGGAAGGCGUUACCGACAGAAUAAGCACCGGCUAACUUCGUGCCAGCAGCCGCGGUAAUAC
rnacentral:rRNA from 1 species